rnacentral:rRNA from 1 species
AGCGAACGCUGGCGGCAGGCCUAACACAUGCAAGUCGAACGAACCUUUCGGGGUUAGUGGCGGACGGGUGAGUAACACGUGGGAACGUGCCUUUAGGUUCGGAAUAACUCAGGGAAACUUGUGCUAAUACCGAAUGUGCCCUUCGGGGGAAAGAUUAAUCGCCUUUAGAGCGGCCCGCGUCUGGUUAGCUAGUUGGUUGAGGUAAUGGCUCACCAAGGCGACGAUCAGUAGCUGGUCUGAGAGGAUGAUCAGCCACAUUGGGACUGAGACACGGCCCAAACUCCUACGGGAGGCAGCAGUGGGGAAUCUUGCGCAAUGGGCGAAAGCCUGACGCAGCCAUGCCGCGUGAAUGAUGAAGGUCUUAGGAUUGUAAAAUUCUUUCACCGGGGACGAUAAUGACGGUACCCGGAGAAGAAGCCCCGGCUAACUCCGUG